GUCAGUGCGUACAUUUAACCGCAGAAAGACAAUGUGUGGCACAUUUGAUUACCUUCCUCCUGAGAUGGUUGAAAGCGUAAAAUAUACAAUGAACAAUCACAUUUAAUCUUCUCUAUUUGAAAAAUCCAUUGUACCCAUCAGAAGAAACCUUCCAAUCCCCGCCGGUGUAUUUGUCGAUUCCACCAAAAACAUUCGUUAUGUAUGCUUUCGCCUAUUUAUAUAUAUAUACUGUUGAAACCAUGAGCGUUGUACAGUUUAAAUUCAAAAAGUAUAUACACAAGUUGAUGUUCGAUAUAACCAGUGGCAUAAUUGGAAAGCAUCUAAUUAUAUAAAGUACACUUUGCUUCUCUCUCAGGCUGUCUACCUCAGCAGACAGGUCAAUAAUUCAGGCGACGUCACGACGACACGUGUCCUUUAAAUGAUGCUGUGCGUUUUGUUGUCGGUCUUUUUCAGAAUUUUUGGGCUUUUUGCUUAAUCCAUUAUCCGGCCCGAUAGACAGCAAGACCAACACACAAAUUUUAGGGUUAGUGAUCUUCUUCCACAAAGAAGCGUCUUCUCCUUCGUUCUCUGAUAUAUCUAUGGAGUUCGAGAUGUUGAAUCGUUUUGUGGAUCUUUAACGUUUUGUCUUAUCUUCUAAUCUACGGAAACAAUAUUCAUCGCCUUAUCAUACUCCUUAAAUCCAUCACCCCCUUCGAGCACGAUCUGUUCUUCAAUGCACCUUAUUCCUCUCCAUCGGUAAGACAAGUUCGUUUCUAGCCGGAAAGUCGGAACCAGGUACAUAUUACUGAGGUUACAACACUGUGGUAAGCGAUUAUAAUACUCAUCUGUUUCCAGUUCCUUUUGGAUCUGUGAGCUUGAUUAUAAGAUUGGUUAUACAGCAAUUGAAUUAUUAGUAUUAGAGAAGUUUCUGGUAGCAAUUUGUUUUCAUAUGUUUAGCUAUUGAUCAAUCUUAUUCCAGUUUGUUUUUUAUUGUUUUCAAACCCUCUACAGUGUUAGAUUAAAGUCUACAACUUCUGGAAAUUUCUUUGUCUUAGGUUUGUGCUCUUCUUUAUGGAAGAGGAUACGCAUAAAAAGCGAGCAUAACACGCUUUGUUGGCUUUUGUUGCAGAAAAGGGUUUAUUUGAUACUUGAGUAUGCUGCUAGAGACGAGCUUUACAAGGAGCUUCAGAAAUGCAAAUACUUCAGCGAGAGACGAGCUGCUACUUAUGUUGCAUCAUUGGCAAGGGCUCUCAUCUAUUGCCAUUGAAGCAUGUGAUACACAGAGAUAUCAAACCAGAAAAUCUGUUAAUCGGUGCUCAGCUUAAUAACAAUGUUCGUGGACUUUUAAAUAUCAGGGUGAGCUCAAGAUUGCAGACUUUUGUUGGUCAGUGCGUACAUUUAACCGCAUAAAGACAAUGUGUGGCACAUUUGAUUACCUUCCUCCUGAGAUGGGUAAAGUUAAAGACUUUGCUUGAAAGUUAAUUUUGCUAUGACAUGAAUUAAUUUUAACAAUGACCAAUUGAUUAUUUUUUUAAUAGUUGAAAGCGUAAAAUAUACAAUGAACAAUCACAUUUAAUCUUCUCUAUUUGAAAAAUCCAUUGUACCCAUCAGAAGAAACCUUCCAAUCCCCACCGGUGUCUUCUUAAAAAAUAUAGGGACUUUCUAUAAAGUGGAACUACAUCGACUGCCCAAAGUGGAGCUUGGUUUCCCUGGAGUGGAACAAGACUUUUGAAUUCACGUAAGUUUGCUUCUUCUGCUUUAGUUUCAUUCUAGAUCAGUAUUUUCGUCAAUGAUGAUCCUUUUUUAUUAUAAGCUUUCACUUACUUUAAGCUUAUUCAAUCUUUUUUUUUUUCGCUACAAAUCUCUCUGCAGCUUAUCAUCCUAGAUAUUCAGUUAUAGUUCUUGGCCUAACUACAGGUGAGUGAGAAUAAGUGUCUCGGGAACAUCUUAUUUUGAAUUAGGACUCCACUGAAGAAGUCAUUCAACAUCUUAGUGGAAACGAAAACGUUUUCAGCUUUUUAUUUACCUGACAAAGAUCCCGCGCGUACAUGCUUCUAUCUAGAGGGUAAUGAAUCGGGACCAGCAUGAGAUCUGACUCCAGGUUAUGAUGAUGCGGACAGUGAGCAUCUGAAAUCUACACAGUACUCGGCAGAAGCUUAGCUUCCAGAAGCAGUUGAUGAUCCCGCCAUGAUGGCUUACUGGGAUACGUUAUGGCUUACUAGGAUGCUAGAAAAUAUUUGGAGCAAGACGAAAGAAGCAACAUGUUACAGUACUUAUCUUUCUACAGGAGUGGAACUAGAACUGUAGAAGUAACAUCAUGGCUGUAUCUGUAGGCGAAGCCCGUUGCAGAGAGUAAGACGAGAUGCUGGAGAAUCCUUCCACACACACAAGAUAAGGCCAGGGAGAUAAAUUAAUGGUAGAUAAAAUAGAGAUGGUGACUACGACUUUGUUUAUAUUGAAAAUUGCUUUCUGUACCAUUAAACAACUCUAAAUUUAUAUUGUUUUAAAUUA